GCGACCCCAAGUCAGGUCGGAA
rnacentral:rRNA from 1 species